CCUGACUGACGACUGUAGAGUUUAGUAGUUCGUGUCAUGCGUUUGUACGGUAUUGUGUUGCGUUUUCUGUGUAAUAUGUAAGUGAUUUGAUGGUGGAGACAGGAAAUCACGGAAAGACAUAUUGAGUGUGUGAGCUUGUGUUUCCGCAUUGCGAGCAGGAGGUGACUAGUGUUUAGACAAGCAUAUUAGCGCACAUUACGUACCUGUGCUGUUCGGCAAUUACGAAGAAUACCAGAUCGAGGCGUGGUGGCUUAGGAGGGCAAUCAUGGACUCCAAGGGAACUAGUUGGCUGAAAAAAGAGAAGAAUGAAAUAUAUGCUGAACCAGAAUCCUUGGUCCUCACCGUAUUCCACAACAUUCCCCAUACUGGGUGUAUUGGCUGUUGCAUCAUGUUUGAUCACCUGACAAGUUUCUUGAAGGUCCGCUAAAGAUUGUAAUGCCUAGUCUCCAUAUAAAGCAAGACCUAGAACUGAAACAGGAGGAUGGCAUUGAGCGUGAUGUAAGUUUUCACAUCAGUGAUGUAUUGUGCAUGAAGUACUGUAUGAAUAUCAUGAAAUGCAUUGGGUGCAGUAUAUUUCAGUGAUCAUUAUUGAUGAUACAUUAAAACCUAGGAUAUUAGCACUCCUCCAGAAUGUUUAUAGAAUUCCAAUUGACUGUAGGUAUAUUGUUCUGUUGUGUAAUGGUAUUUGAAUGAAACAUGUUCGAUACAUAAGUUUAUUAACUGUAACCCACGGUAAUUUUAUUGUACAUGUAAAUAAUGAAUGCCUGAAAUUCGUUCUUGGAACAAAUGUACCAAAGAUGAAUUCCUUGCAGCAGCUGUCAAUUUAUUGGUCUCUGUCAGAGUUCUAUAAUAGAAAAGAUGUAAGAGGU